GAUUUGUCCCUGGAGCCCGGGAUUUGUCCCUCACGCCCUGAGGGAGCUGCUCCAGCCCCGAGACCGGGAUUUGUCCCUCGGUGCUCUGAGGGAACUGCACCGAGCCCUGGGCCCGGGAUUUGUCCCUCAAGCCCAGGAUUUGUCCCUUUAGCCCGGCAUUUGUCCCUGGAGCCCGGGAUUUGUCCCUCAUGCCCUGAGGGAACCGCACCGAGCCCCGGGCCCGGAAUUUGUCCCUCGAGCCCGGGAUUUGUCCCUCAUGCCCUGAGGGAGCUGCUCCAGCCCCGAGACCGGGAUUUGUCCCUCUAGCCCGGGAUUUGUCCCUCGGUGCUGAGGGAGCUGCACCGAGGCCCGAGCCCGGGAUUUGUCCCUCGGUGCUCUGAGGGAGCUGCACCGAGGCCCGAGCCCAGAAUUUGUCCCUGGAGCCCGAGAUUUGUCCCUCAUGCCCUGAGGGAACCGCACCGAGCCCCGGGCCCGGGAUUUGUCCCUCAAGCCCGGGAUUUGUCCCUUUAGCCCAGGAUUUGUUCCUCAUGCCCUGAGGGAGCUGCUCCAGCCCCGAGCCCGGGAUUUGUCCCUCGAGCCCGGGAUUUGUCCCUCAUGCCCUGAGGGAACCGCACCGAGCCCUGGGCCCGGGAUUUGUUCCUCACGCCCUGAGGGAGCUGCACCGAGGCCCGAGCCCGGGAUUUGUCCCUCUAGCCCAGAAUUUGUCCCUGGAGCUCAGAAUUUGUCCCUUUAGCCCAGAAUUUGCCCCUUUAGCCCAGAAUUUGUCCCUUUAUCCCAGAAUUCGUCCCUUUAUCCCAGGAUUUGUCCCUGGAGCCCGGGAUUUGUCCCGCCGAGCUCCCCCCGUGCCUGGGGCCCAGCACAUCCUGUUUACAGCCCGAGCCCGCCGCUCCUUCCCCAAGCAUCCGAGCUCGGCGAUUGUUGUCCUUUGCAAUAUGGUAAUUUUAUGGGAUAUUUUUACCCAGCUCCAGCACAUAUUUUUCCAACCCACAGCAGAACUUUCGACAACAAUGCAACUCGGGAAAGCUGGAAAUAUGGGACAAUCGUCCCUAAACACCCAGCUAGCCUUCAACACGUCUUGGCAUUUGGGACGGCAGCUCCGCUCCAAACAUAUGGCAGCGAAAGCUUUUGAAUUUUUUUUCUAUGAUUUUAUUCCGGUCUGGAGUCACUUCCACCCCGAAAUAAAGCAAUUUUAAUUCAGGCCAGAUGUGUAAAAUUGGGAUUUAUUUAUAUGGGUGGAAGGUGUCCCCUAACUUUGGAACGGGAUUUUCCAUCCAAACCAGCCCAAAACCCUACAGUAAUAAUUUUCUUACAAAUCCCAUCAUUUAUUCGAGGUUUGUUUUUAAAAUCCAAACUCUAAUACGUUUGUGGAUGUUGUGGUUUCGUUAUUAAAAUAUAAAUGAUAUCCAAAUCCAUUUGUAUAUGCAAAUACAAAAAACAUAUAUUGAUAUCAUCAUAAUAAUAUUCU
rnacentral:lncRNA from 1 species